AAUGUUCCCCUUUUCAAACUCUUUUCUGGUUCUGGAUUCUCAGUCCAAUUUAACUACAGAGACUUUUUAUUUAUAAGGGUGAAUAUUCUUUUUGGUCUUCACCUCCCUUAAAGUAGCCCACAAAAUACAAUAACAAAAACUACUUCCCAGUUGCAUAUAUCAGCUCUUGGUUUGUUUGCAUUUGAUUGGAUGUAAUUAUGUAGCUAAUCCUCGAUCCUGCUGUUGCUGAAGCUAAGAGAAGCAGUAGCAGGUCCCUAUAUUCAAGACACAAAAGAAUCCAGCAAAUUGAAUGACAAUCAGAGGUAUUGGGCACAGAAAAGAUCUACUAGUCCAGCGUCCUGCAAUUUCAAGUAUAUUUUGGAUACAAUGCCUAAUAAAUUUACUUUGUUCAGCUUAAUGUUGCAUAUCUCACAGGAAUGGCUUCCAUCACUUCCUGUCAUGACUACAACUUUGAGUAUAAAUCACUAGAAAUCAUGAAAAAAGAAGCAAUAGCCAGUAAAGUGAAGGAAUGAAGCCUUGAGGAAGAGGGGAAUAAAAAAAGAAGCUAACAAUUGCCAAAAAGACAUAACGGGGUCAGAGAGGAGCUUUGGGGGUAAGGUGGGGGCAGUGAAAAAGGCAGAUCUCUGAAUCUUAAAGUGCAUUUAUCAGUUGUUUCCAUUCCUCCAAGAAUGUGUUGCAUUCUGAAAAAAUACUAUUUAAUAUAUAUAAAUACAAUAGAAACUCUGAAAUAAAUCUGAUUACAAUUAAUCAAAGAAGGAGACACCUUGUGAUACCAUACAUAACUGUAGGGAAUCGCAUGAACAGCAUUCCUGAGAGUAAUUGUAUGUAAUAGCAUUCCCUAAUGGGUUCAUUCCAAGAGAAUUUUAAAAAUACUUGUAGGCGCCAAUAAACUGUGGUUAACUCCAAUUUCCUGAGCUGCUGUCUGGUUAUUUGCAGCAAUACUGAUUGGAGUACUAUGUUUUCUUUUCAUAUCAGAGUUCAACCCAUCUCAGAUGCAUUCUCAGUAUUUAUGUUAA